UACUGGCAGGAUCAACCAGGCAACAGUAAAGAACAAGUAUCCUUUUCCCCAGAUCGAUGAGCUCUUCGACCAGCUUCAGGGUGCUUAGUACUUCUCGAAGGUGGAUUUGAGGUCAGGAUAUCAUUAGCUUUGAGUUAGAGAGCAGGAUGUGCAGAAGACAGCGUUUCGUACUCGUUACGGGCACUUCGAGUUUCUCGACAUGCCGUUCAGGUUGACGAAUGCACCAACAGUGUUCAUGGCUUUGAUGAACAAGAUCUUCGCUCCGUACCUCUACAGCGUCACAGUGGUGUUCAUCGACGAUGUACUGGUUUAUUCAAAGUCCAAAGAGGUGCAUGAGCAGCAUUUAAGGACAUCUCUACUGUUGUUGCGCAACAACCAGUUGUAUGCGAAGCUCAGCA
rnacentral:misc_RNA from 1 species